ensembl:rRNA 5S_rRNA 5S ribosomal RNA
GUCCACGGCCAUGCCACCCUGAACAAACUUGAUCCCGUCUGAUCUUGGAAGCUAAGCAGGGUCGGGCCUGGUUAGUACUUGGAUGGGAGACCACCCAGGGAGACCAGGUGCUAUAGGCA